AAGUCUGAAGCAGCAUGCCGCGUGAAGGGAAGAAUGCCUUCUGGUUGAAACUCUUUUUACAAUGAAAAAAAGGUCCUGAUUAAUACUGGUGUGAGGGGGCCGCUUCAAGAGGAAACGGCUCCGUCUAUGUCAGUGCCAGCGGCCG
rnacentral:rRNA from 1 species